rnacentral:tRNA from 1 species
GUUCCCGUCGAUUAGUGGUCAGAUCAUCACGUUGUGGUGCUCUCAAAAUGAGAGUACAGAACCGUGGAGACGAGGGCUCGACUCCCUCCGGGAACA